UACGUAGGGUGCGAGCGUUGUCCGGAAUUAUUGGGCGUAAAGAGCUCGUAGGCGGCCUGUCGCGUCGGAUGUGAGAGCCCGGGGCUUAACCCCGGGUCUGCAUUCGAUACGGGCAGGCUAGAGUUCGGUAGGGGAGAUCGGAAUUCCUGGUGUAGCGGUGAAAUGCGCAGAUAUCAGGAGGAACACCGGUGGCGAAGGCGGAUCUCUGGGCCGAUACUGACGCUGAGGAGCGAAAGCGUGGGGAGCGAACAGG
rnacentral:rRNA from 1 species